GGCUGGAGAUGUGGGCUGGAGCUGGCUAAAGGUCAGUGUGGUGCAGAAAGCAGUAACUAUAGUCUACAUGGCUCUGGCGUAUCUCUUCCCUUUCUGCUGAGGCUCAACCACACUCAACUUUGGGCUACUCGUGAAUGAGGAGGCGUCUGGGGUUCUCCGGUUGCUCCUUUCUACUUCCCACUUGUGGUGACUAUUGACUGAGUUGACGCUGAUUUGCCACAUAGUUUGAACUGGGUGUGCCAACCACAGCUCGAGAGCUCUUCUGAGGAGCCAAUAAGUUGGCACUAGGAUUCAAACCACAUCCUGUUUUACCAUUGCACUUUCCAUGCUACGUGAGGAGAUAAGCCUCAGAAACAGAAGGCCCUGUCUCUGCUCCCCC